UACCAGCACCCCGAGUGGUCGGGACGAUUAUUGGGCCUAAAGCAUCCGUAGCCGGUUUUACAAGUCCUCCGUUAAAUCCAGCUGCUUAACAGAUGGGCUGCGGAGGAUACUAUAAGACUAGGAGGCAGGAGAGGCAAGCGGUACUCAGUGGGUAGGGGUAAAAUCCGUUGAUCCAUUGAAGACCACCAGUGGCGAAGGCGGCUUGCCCAGAAUGCGCUCGACGGUGAGGGAUGAAAGCUGGGGGAGCAAACCAGGG
rnacentral:rRNA from 1 species